rnacentral:rRNA from 1 species
AAUAGAUACCCCGGUAGUCCACCCCGUAAACGUUGGGAACUAGUUGUGGGGCCUUUCCACGGUCUCCGUGACGCAGCUAACGCAUUAAGUUCCCCGCCUGGGGAGUACGGCCGCAAGGCUAAAACUCAAAGGAAUUGACGGGGACCCGCACAAGCGGCGGAGCAUGCGGAUUAAUUCGAUGCAACGCGAAGAACCUUACCAAGGCUUGACAUACACCGGAAAAGGCUGGAAACAGUCUCCCCCUUGUGGUCGGUGUACAGGUGGUGCAUGGUUGUCGUCAGCUCGUGUCGUGAGAUGUUGGGUUAAGUCCCGCAACGAGCGCAACCCUCGUUCUAUGUUGCCAGCACGUUAUGGUGGGAACUCAUGGGAUACUGCCGGGGUUCAACUCGGAGGAAGGUGGGGAUGACGUCAAAUCAUCAUGCCCCUUAUGUCUUGGGCUUCACGCAUGCUACAAUGGCCGGUACAAAGGGCGGCGAUACCGUAAGGUGGAGCGAAUCCCAAAAGCCGGUCCCAGUUCGGAUUGAGGUCUGCAACUCGACCUCAUGAAGUCGGAGUCGC